rnacentral:lncRNA from 1 species
CUGACCUCCUGACAUGGGGAGGAUCAUCUGUUUCCAGGCCAUGGUUGACCACAAGUAACUGAAACCAUGGAAAGCCAAUCCACAGAGAGAGGCAUAGCCAGCGGAACGCAUACAUAGAAACAUCUGUUUGCCAUGGCCGGGAUGGUUGGCUUGCAGCUUCUGCCUACACAGAGCUCUUCAAUACCAGGGUGAUGAAAUAAUAGCCAGUCCAAAGAAGACAGGGUGAGGCUUACUAAAACUAAAGGUUGUUCCAGAGAAACAGGAAGGAAAGUCAUCAGUUGUGAAAGAGGACUGCAAAAAUGGUGUGAGCAUCACUGGCAAAAAAAAAAAAUAUUAAAGUCUGAUACAAAAAAAGGAGUCAUCAAGGAUAUGAAACAGAAACUUUCAUACACUAUGGGUGGGCAUGAAGAUCGGCAGCUAUUAAUUGGAUUUGAGAGAGAAAAGGGGAGAGAGAAGAGAGGAAAGAUU